rnacentral:rRNA from 1 species
UAAUGUCUGGGAAACUGCCUGAUGGAGGGGGAUAACUACUGGAAACGGUAGCUAAUACCGCAUAACGUCGCAAGACCAAAGAGGGGGGACCCCUCGGGCCUCUUGCCAUCGGAUGUGCCCAGAUGGGAUUAGCUUGUUGGUGGGGUAACGGCUCACCAAGGCGACGAUCCCUAGCUGGUCUGAGAGGAUGACCAGCCACACUGGAACUGAGACACGGUCCAGACUCCUACGGGAGGCAGCAUG